AUGCUAUUUGCAACUUUAGAACAUAUACUAACUCAUAUCUCUUUCUCAACGAUUUCAAUUGUGAUUACGAUUCAUUUGAUAACCUUAUUAGUUCGUGAACUUGGAGGAUUACGUGAUUCGUCAGAAAAAGGAAUGAUAGUUACUUUUUUCUCUAUAAUAGGAUUCUUAGUUUCUCGUUGGGCUUCCUCGGGACAUUUUCCAUUAAGUAAUUUAUAUGAGUCAUUGAUCUUCCUUUCAUGGGCCAUGUAUAUUCUUCAUACCAUUCCUAAAAUACAGAACUCUAAAAAUGAUUUAAGCACAAUAACUACGCCAAGUACUAUUUUAACGCAAGGCUUUGCCACAUCGGGUCUUUUAACUGAAAUGCAUCAAUCCACGAUACUAGUACCUGCUCUAAAAUCUCAGUGGUUAAUGAUGCAUGUCAGUAUGAUGUUAUUAAGCUAUGCAACUCUUUUGUGCGGAUCCUUAUUAUCUGCCGCUAUUCUAAUCAUUAGAUUUCGAAAUAAUUUCCAUUUCUUUUCUAAAAAGAAAAAAAUGUUUUAA
rnacentral:rRNA from 1 species